rnacentral:rRNA from 1 species
CAAUUAUUUAUAGCCUCUGGCUAUAGGAAAUUGUUAGUGGCAGACGGGUGAGUAAUGCGUAGGAAUCUACCUAGUAGUACGGAAUAGCCAUUAGAAAUGGUGGGUAAUACUGUAUAAUCCCCGAGGGGGAAAGAUUUAUCGCUAUUAGAUGAGCCUACGUUAGAUUAGCUAGUUGGUGAGGUAAUGGCUUACCAAGGCUAUGAUCUAUAGCUGGUCUGAGAGGACGAUCAGCCACACUGGAACUGAGAUACGGUCCAGACUCCUACGGGAGGCAGCAGUGGGGAAUAUUGGACAAUGGGCGAAAGCCUGAUCCAGCUAUGCCGCGUGAGUGAAGAAGGCCUUCGGGUUGUAAAACUCUUUCAAUAGGGAAGAUAAUGACGGUACCUAUAGAAGAAGUCCCGGCAAACUCUGUGCCAGCAGCCGCCGGGGUAAUACG